UGGAGCCGCUAGGGAGGAGGAGGAGCAUGAGAAAGAGCGCUUUGAAAGGUAAGCUUCCACGUUGAGCCCUGUGCGCCCCGAGAGUCUGCUUCCAUCUCUCCCGGCCCUGAGGGACCAGCUCCUUGGUCUCUAAGGAUGCCAGCGGCAGGGAACAGAACCCUCAGGAAAAGAAAGCAGGAACCAGAUCCUUUUGCAGAAUGAAGCUGGGAGGAGGCUGGGAAAGGAUGUGACCUGGCAAGGGCGUGUGAGCUGUCUUGGACCACGAGUGCUUGGAUUGGGAGGUGGACCCUCCAGGUUGGACUGAGAACAAGUGGUUUCACAUGGCCGGGAUUCCUCUGUGAGGUCUCACUGCCCCCCCACCCCCGCACCCCCAGGGGCGUUGUGAGGCCAGCCAAGGUUAAGAGAGGUGGAAGCACUUUGCAAAUGAGAAACCUGUCUGGGAGCCUCUCCAUCACUGUCAGGAUUCGUGUGGCCUUGGAUGCUGGGGCUUGGGCGCCAGGCUCCCAAAAGUGUCCCCUAAAGGGACCAGCCUCCUGGAAAACCCUCAUGCCCCUGCCUUCACCACCAUGACCCAGUGUCCUGAUUUCCAGUCUGCAGAGACUGCCUGCAACAGCUGGGACGGGUUCGGGGCCUGAUGGCACGUCUGCAAAGCCACCUGCGCAGAGGCCCUGACAGGGGCCGCUUUCACUACCACUCACGUCCGGACCCCCUUGGCGAGGUGUGCCAGGCAGUGCCCCCUGGAGCCCAGCAGCUGUGCAGGGAGCCUGCACAAGAGGCUCUUCCCACGAUGUCCCCAUCAGCUUCCCCGGCUCCUCUGACCCCUCUGGCCUCCAUCCUGGCAGCAGACCCGCAAGACCAAUGCAACAUCAAGACCAUCCUGCAGGGUCCUGCCGCAAAAACGUCCUCACCUCCAGGCGAAGAGGACGCUACCCUCAUCACCCCCCACAUCCCAGAGCCCUCCUUCACUGUCUAGGGAGUUACCAGGGACUUCGGGUGAAGUAGACGAGGAGACAAAGAAGAAGCAAGAAUGCAGGGGGAACACGAGGAGGAGGAAGAAGAGCCAUUACCAAAAACAGGACUGGGGCCUCCUCUAUAGUUUGGUCACCUAAUUAACAAAUGGAGACCCUGAGGCACAAAACGGUUCACCAAACUACACAUGUGCUUGCUUUCCACAAUGGACUCAGACCACAUGCUGCAACCACAACAUACACAACCUGCGUGAAAGAAUCCUUUUCCUAGGUCAUCCAGAUGAUCUCCCUAGAGCAAAUCAUUUCCACCGCCACCAAGUUGUGGCAUAUGUUACUCUCUGCCCCCUCCCCCCAAAACAUCAUUUUGCCACUUGGAUAAAACAUGCCAGAGCAGAGGACCCUUCUCAGAUAGCAGUUUGUUGUGCUCAUUCAUGCCAUGUUACAAAGGAAAAGAACAAGAGGAGGAAAUCCAAUUUACUAACUUUUAUGAAAAACAGUGCAAUAUAGCGUGAGCCAUUUUGUUCUGGCUAGAACUCCAUCAUGAAAAACACACCUUUCCCUGAAUCUGGAAUUCACCUACACGUCCAAGGCCAUCCAGGCAGAUUUUGAGGGUUGAAGGCAAAAACACUUUCAACCAUCCCUGUAGAUAGAUAGCAUCCCUGCUUUGUCCCCACCCCCCGCUCCCCCCACGCCUUCACCUGAGAGGCACCGAGGUUCUCUCAACGUGAGACCUCUCAGGCCCACCGGUUGGAGUGGAAGACAGCACACCCGGAUACAGGAAGAAAACAUGAGAACUUCCAUUUGGAGUCUUUUUCAUCUCACUCUUUGAAAAUUCCUAUACUUAUAUAAGCUUUGUCAUGCAUCUAAAUUAUAGGACCAUAGAACAUGUGUUUAUUUCACAUGUCAGAGAACUUUUUACUGAGUAAGAAGAUUGAAAGAUUGGAGAACAAUGAUAUGAACCAGAUUCUUGGUCUUUUCUAAGGAGUCAAACCAGAAUCCAAAACAGCCCUGGGGACUGGGCUCUGUCAGGCAAAGCACACGUGUGGCCUGUCCAGGGAGAAGAAGGACCAUGAAGCAACUCUAGAAAAUCUGUUUCAUCAAACUCUGAAAUUCAGAGGGGCCUCCUCAGCCCUGAGUUUCAGCUUGUAGGCAGAAGGCAGAUAACAUGGAGGUGAGUGAACCUUUUCCCCCUGAUUCAUCUGCAAACACCAGGGCAGGGUGUGUGUAUGUGGGGGAAAUAGCACUCGGAUCCAGUUAGAAUACCAUUUAGGAACCUACAGACCCUCCAGGGCCAUCAGAGCUGCAGGGUGUGUGUGGGUGUGUGGGGGUGUACACAUGCAAAAGCAAUGGGGACCUCAGGCAGCAUCUAGCAGGGACUGGUGCACCGCAGCACCCACAGCACCCAGAAGAAUGGCUUUUCCUUAAGAAUGCAACAGGUUGCAUUUACAUUACAUUUUUGGAAGGAU